GACGAACGCUGGCGGUGUGCUUUACACAUGCAAGUCGAACGGUAACAGGGAGCUUGCUCCGCUGACGAGUGGCGAACGGGUGAGUAAUGCAUCGGAACGUACCGUGUAAUGGGGGAUAACGUAGCGAAAGUUACGCUAAUACCGCAUACGCCCUGAGGGGGAAAGUGGGGGACCGCAAGGCCUCACGUUAUACGAGCGGCCGAUGUCGGAUUAGCUAGUUGGUGGGGUAAAGGCCUACCAAGGCGACGAUCCGUAGCGGGUCUGAGAGGAUGAUCCGCCACACUGGGACUGAGACACGGCCCAGACUCCUACGGGAGGCAGCAGUGGGGAAUUUUGGACAAUGGGCGCAAGCCUGAUCCAGCCAUGCCGCGUGAGUGAAGAAGGCC
rnacentral:rRNA from 1 species